CCUACGGGUGGCAGCAGUCGAGAAUCAUUCACCAUGUGGGAAACCCUGAUGGUGCGACGCCGCGUGGGGGAAUGAAGGUCUUCGGAUUGUAAACCCCUGUCAUGUGGGAGCAAAUUAAAAAGAUAGUACCACAAGAGGAAGAGACGGCUAACUCUGUGCCAGCAGCCGCGGUAAUAAAGAGGUCUCAAGCGUUGUUCGGAAUCACUGGGCGUCAAGCGUGCGUAGGCUGUUUCGUAAGUCGUGUGUGAAAGGCGCGGGCUCAACCCGCGGACGGCACAUGAUACUGCGAGACUAGAGUAAUGGAGGGGGAACCGGAAUUCUCGGUGGAGCAGUGAAAUGCGUAGAUAUCGAGAGGAACACUCGUGGCGAAGGCGGGUUCCUGGACAUUAACUGACGCUGAGGCACGAAGGCCAGGGGAGCGAAAGGGAUUAGAUACCCCAGUAGUC
rnacentral:rRNA from 1 species